rnacentral:lncRNA from 1 species
ACAAAAGAAACAUAUAUUUGAAUCUUGAAUUCCAUUUCUCUUGAAACUUGAUUAAUCUAUUCAUGUAGUAAAGUGUUUUUUUUUUUUUUUAAUUGGGGGGGGGGUGUUGUGUGUGUGUGUGUGUGCGCGUGCACACGCGUGCACUGUCCUUUCACAAAAUGGUGUGUGGGAAGGUUUAUGACCAGUUCUUAAUAUAAUACAUCUUCCAGCCAUGCAGAAAGAGAAAAUGAUGAUAAACUAUGAUGUGUGGUUUUUCAUCAUCUUUCUUAUUUGUAUUUCAGUAGAAUCCAGCAAUCUGAUUUAAGGACAACACUGUGGAAAGCACUGUAUGAACACAUGGCACAAGAUAGACUUUGUCCAAAAAGAGCUUAUGAUCCAAAUAAAAAUAGCUAUAAAGAAGAGAAUUGACUCGCCAUAGGCCAGGCACGAGGGAUGGAUAGAAUUCAGCCAUCAGCACUGAAUAAGUGCUGUGCAGAAGGACAGAGCCAAAUUAUGGACUGCAAUCUGAUGCCGUUCCAAUGACUAGCACCUGAUCCUCACGUAGUCCUAUUAAAACUUCCUAAUGUAGUAAGCAUGAUCUUAUAUGUUUCAGAAAGUUUCUCCAGUCCUCCAAUGUCUCCCUCAAUUUCUCCCCAGCUGCCACGUGCAUGGAAAUAGUCAAGGAGUGUGCCAUUUCCUCUUACAUCACUGGAGUCAGAAAGUUGUGACCAUAGCUGCUUUCUUUUGGAGCUAUGUUCAUGCUGCAUUUGAGCAAAGUACUGCAACAGUAGCACAGUUUUGUAUGUGGAUGACUUGCCUUUGUACUUUUUCAGCCAUGGAAAAAGAUCCCCACUGCAGCAUCAGCCUUAUUUGUUCUCCAUCUCAUUUGCUGCCAAUAUAUGAGAGUAGCCCAGGCACUCGAGAAGCCCACAAAGAAAACAAAAAUGAGGAGUCUCAGCCGAGUCUGCAGAAAGAGAAGAGACAGAAGAAAAUACCAGAAAAGGCACUGAAGAUGGGGUGAGCAUAUGGAAAAUGGAAUGGCAGAGAGGGACUAUUAGUGAGUAUAGGGUUUGAAAUGCCUUUCUUUCUGAUAUGAAAUGCAAACUUGUAUAUAUUCUCCUAGAGCGAAAUGCACAGCUCUUCUGCCUCCCGCUGAUAAAUCAAGGCAAACAAACUAUGCAAUGGGACCACUCAUUCUGCAAACCGUGCAUAUGGCUCAGUGGAUAGCAUGGAAAAGGAGCAUCAAGGUGAGUUUGAAAAACCUUCUGAGUGAGGGGGAAGUGCUGACAUUCAGAUAAACAUGGUUUCAUAGCUAUACAAAAGUCUGACCUGCUGAAUACCACAGCAUCA